rnacentral:rRNA from 1 species
AUUGAACGCUGGCGGCAGGCCUAACACAUGCAAGUCGAACGAGUGGCGGACGGGUGAGUAAUGUCUGGGAAACUGCCUGAUGGCGGGGGAUAACUACUGGAAACGGUAGCUAAUACCGCAUACCAUCGGAUGUGCCCAGAUGGGAUUAGCGAGUAGGUGGGGUAAAGGCUCACCUAGGCGACGAUCCCUAGCUGGUCUGAGAGGAUGACCAGCCACACUGGAACUGAGACACGGUCCAGACGCCUACGGGAGGCAGCAGUGGGGAAUAUUGCGCAAUGGGCGCAAGCCUGAUGCAGCCAUGCCGCGUGUAUGAAGAAGGGCUUCGGGUUGUAAAGUACUUUCAGCGGGGAGGCGUUACCCGCAGAAGAAGCACCGGCUAACUCCGUGCCAGCAGCCGCGGUAAUUC